GAUGAACGCUAGCGGCAGGCCUAACACAUGCAAGUCGAGGGGCAGCACAGAAACAGCAAUGUUUUGGUGGCGACCGGCGGACGGGUGCGUAACGCGUAUGCAACCUACCUUUAGCAGGGGGAUAACGGAGAGAAAUUUCCACUAAUACCCCAUAACAUCGAUCAAGGCAUCUUGAUUGGUUGAAAACUCCGGUGGUUAAAGAUGGGCAUGCGUUGUAUUAGGUAGUUGGUGAGGUAAUGGCUCACCAAGCCUACGAUACAUAGGGGGACUGAGAGGUUAGCCCCCCACACUGGUACUGAGACACGGACCAGACUCCUACGGGAGGCAGCAGUGAGGAAUAUUGGUCAAUGGGGGCAACCCUGAACCAGCCAUGCCGCGUGCAGGAAGACGGCUCUAUGAGUUGUAAACUGCUUUUAAACAGGGAUAAAGCACAGUAUGUAUACUGUGUUGAAGGUACUGUAAGAAUAAGGAUCGGCUAACUCCGUGCCAGCCGCCGCCGUAA
rnacentral:rRNA from 1 species